GCAGGAGGAGCAGUUAGCUGAUUUUAAGCAAGCAGUCUCAGAGUUGUCGUUAGAAGUCAUAAGUUAGCAAAAAACAUUAGAGUUUCGGCGUGAAACUGUUGGACUGUGUAUUUGUUUUCUGCCACUGUAUUAUUCGAGAGUUGUGGUGAAGGCCGCGCUGCGAGGCUAACCCAUCUGUUUGCUAGUAAGGACUAAUGUAAGCUGCCGUUUCACUGCCAUAGUGGAUUUAAGAAGCUGCAGAAGACCGUUACCGGACUUGAUAGACAGACCGACUCCAGAUAGUCAUACCUCUGGCUAGUGGGGAACGAGGACCAGUAGAUGUGGAGCACACGGAGAUCACACAACUGCACCAUUGAACUGCUGUGUUUUUGGACACUGGGAGGUUUUUAUGGACCAAAGGACGGAUUAAUCUGGAUUAAUGUGUUGGAACUCACAGUCACCUAAGGGUUGGCAAGCUGAUAUCUCUGCGUCUAUGGGAAGUCGGAAGCAUUUGUAAUAUGGAGAGGGACACAUUAGCUGAUGCCGAUCGCGAGCCACAUUCUGCUUUUCUCCCUCCUGUGCAGUUCGACUUGAUUUGUCUAACAAGCAAAGGUGCAGGUCAAUCAUCUCUAUUGAUUCAACUGAACCACCAGCACUAGCACAAUUAAAAAAGAAAGUUAGUUCACCUCAUGACAUAAGCUAAACAUUAUGAGAUGCCAAUGGAACUAAUCACAGUAUUCAUUUAUUGUGAUAUCCCUUGUCCAGUUUUCAGCAGCCUGCACUUGUGAUCCACUUUGUUGUUGAUGUGUGGAUCUUUGCUUAGGAGUUCCUGGCCAUGUCACUGAGUACAAGUUUACCGGGUUGGUUUGCUCUAAAUAUGUUCCAUUUAUUAUGGCCACACACCUCUUCCUUCUUUCUCCAAAGGACAGUGUUAACUUUUAUUCUGACAGAUAUUAGGUAAUAUUAUAAUAAAAAAAAUCACUAUGCAUACUUAUUAUGACACAAAGCCAUUGCCUGUCAAAAAACUAUUCUGCACUGUGAUGACAUGUGGCACCAACGACUCCUGACUAAUUGUCAGUUUGUGACUAAUUCCCAGUGAGAACGUGAAGAUCUUGACACAUUCUCAGUGCUGAUAUUUAACAUUGAGUUGUUUUUUUUUUUCUCUGUAUCAUCACACCAAUGAAUGGAUUCAUCAUGCUAUUAGAUCAAAAACUUAAUUAGUUUCCCUACAAUAAUCAUGUCUGUGUUGUCAUUUACUUGAUAUGAUGCUGUGCUGCUAAGAUCCAAACACCCUCUGUUUCCUUUUGUCUCGUCAUUGAACAGAAAACUAUUGUCAUGCAGAUACCAUUUUAUGUUCUUUUGUGUGUAAUGACAAAGGGAGGAACUCUGCCUGAAAAGAAUGUGU